UUGCUUGCCUAUACACAAUUGCACAUAUGCACUUGCAACAUAUAAAAAAAUAAGCGAACAAUAUGGGUUAAUAUCUCUAAUUAACCAUUUUGCUAAACAAAAUGUUAAUACUAACCAUAAAAAUAAAAUAGAAAUAUUAAAUAUAAUCAUUUUUUGUGUAAGUAUACGAGUUUACCUUUAAUGAAAAUCUAAUAAAUAAUAAAUAAGAAAAAAAUAAAAUAAUAAAAUAUAAUUAAAAAUCUGAAAGAAAAAAAACUUAAAAAAUCAAACUACCUAAAACCCCUUUCCCCAUAUCCCAUUUCCCCCCAAUUCCCUUCUUUGUGGAGCUAAACGUUGCAGCUCCGAUGGCGACGCCACCAUUUCUCCUCUUCUAGUUCCUUUCUCUCCUCGAGCAGGUAGCUCCCUGCUCUCGAACUAAAUUUCUUCAUCUCACCAAUUCCCCUCUCUAUAAUUACACCAUUUUCA
rnacentral:lncRNA from 1 species